GGAGAGAUGGCUCAGUGGUUAAGAACACUGACGCUCUUCCAGAGGACCUGGGUUCAAUUCCCAGUCCCCACA
rnacentral:tRNA from 1 species